GUUUGAUCCUGGCUCAGGACGAACGCUGGCGGCGUGCCUAAUACAUGCAAGUCGUACGCUUCUUUUUCCACCGGAGCUUGCUCCACCGGAAAAAGAAGAGUGGCGAACGGGUGAGUAACACGUGGGUAACCUGCCCAUCAGAAGGGGAUAACACUUGGAAACAGGUGCUAAUACCGUAUAACAAUCGAAACCGCAUGGUUUUGAUUUGAAAGGCGCUUUAGGGUGUCGCUGAUGGAUGGACCCGCGGUGCAUUAGCUAGUUGGUGAGGUAACGGCUCACCAAGGCCGCGAUGCAUAGCCGACCUGAGAAGGUGAUCGGCCACAUUGGGACUGAGACACGGCCCAAACUCCUACGGGAAGGCAGCCUUCGGCAAUGGACGAAAGUCUGACCGAGCAAACGCCGCGUGAGUGAAGGAAGGUUUUCGGGAUCGUAAAACUCUGUUGUUAGAGAAGAACAAGGAUGAGAGUAACUGUUCAUCCCUUGACGGUAUCUAACCAGAAAGCCACGGCUAAAUACGUGCCAGCAGCCGCGGUAAUACGUAGGUGGCAAGCGUUGUCCGGAUUUAUUGGGCGUAAAGCGAGCGCAGGCCGGUUUCUUAAGUUUGAUGUGAAAGCCCCCGGCUCAACCGGGGAGGGUCAUUGGAAACUGGGAGACUUGAGUGCAGAAGAGGAGAGUGGAAUUCCAUGUGUAGCGGUGAAAUGCGUAGAUAUAUGGAGGAACAACCCUGGUAGUCCACGCCGUAAACGAUGAGUGCUAAGUGUUGGAGGGUUUCCGCCCUUCAGUGCUGCAGCUAACGCAUUAAGCACUCCGCCUGGGGAGUACGACCGCAAGGUUGAAACUCAAAGGAAUUGACGGGGGCCCGCACAAGCGGUGGAGCAUGUGGUUUAAUUCGAAGCAACGCGAAGAACCUUACCAGGUCUUGACAUCCUUUGACCACUCUAGAGAUAGAGCUUCCCCUUCGGGGGCAAAGUGACAGGUGGUGCAUGGUUGUCGUCAGCUCGUGUCGUGAGAUGUUGGGUUAAGUCCCGCAACGAGCGCAACCCUUAUUGUUAGUUGCCAUCAUUCCAGUUGGGCACUCCUAGCCAAGACUGCCGGUGACAAACCGGAGGAAGGUGGGGAUGACGUCAAAUCAUCAUGCCCCUUAUGACCUGGGCUACACACGUGCCUACAAUGGGAAGUACAACGAGUCGCGAAGUCGCGAGGCUAAGCUAAUCUC
rnacentral:rRNA from 1 species